rnacentral:rRNA from 1 species
CUGGGUGCCUAAGAGCGGAGUGGCAACACCUCUUCCCAUCCCGAACAGAGCAGUUAAGCACUCCAGCGCCGAUGAUACUUGGGGGCAUACCCGUGGGAAAGUAGGCCGGUGCCCGGG